GGAUGAACGCUGGCGGCGUGCCUAAUACAUGCAAGUCGAGCGAACAGACGAGGAGCUUGCUCCUCUGACGUUAGCGGCGGACGGGUGAGUAACACGUGGAUAACCUACCUAUAAGACUGGGAUAACUUCGGGAAACCGGAGCUAAUACCGGAUAAUAUAUUGAACCGCAUGGUUCAAUAGUGAAAGACGGUUUUGCUGUCACUUAUAGAUGGAUCCGCGCCGCAUUAGCUAGUUGGUAAGGUAACGGCUUACCAAGGCAACGAUGCGUAGCCGACCUGAGAGGGUGAUCGGCCACACUGGAACUGAGACACGGUCCAGACUCCUACGGGAGGCAGCAGUAGGGAAUCUUCCGCAAUGGGCGAAAGCCUGACGGAGCAACGCCGCGUGAGUGAUGAAGGUCUUCGGAUCGUAAAACUCUGUUAUUAGGGAAGAACAAAUGUGUAAGUAACUAUGCACGUCCUGACGGUACCUAAUCAGAAAGCCACGGCUAACUACGUG
rnacentral:rRNA from 1 species